CGACGUGAGGAACCUGCCUUCAAGAGGGGGACAACAGUUGGAAACGACUGCUAAUACCGCAUGACACAUAGAGAUCGCAUGGUUUUUAUGUCAAAGAUUUAUCGCUGAAAGAUGGCCUCGCGUCUGAUUAGCUAGUUGGUGAGGUAACGGCCCACCAAGGCGACGAUCAGUAGCCGGACUGAGAGGUUGACCGGCCACAUUGGGACUGAGAUACGGCCCAG
rnacentral:rRNA from 1 species